AUUGAACGCUGGCGGCAGGCCUAACACAUGCAAGUCGAGCGGAUGAAGAGAGCUUGCUCUCUGAUUCAGCGGCGGACGGGUGAGUAAUGCCUAGGAAUCUGCCUGGUAGUGGGGGACAACGUUUCGAAAGGAACGCUAAUACCGCAUACGUCCUACGGGAGAAAGCAGGGGGCCUUGUGGCCUUGCGCUAUCAGAUGAGCCUGGGUCGGAUUAGCUAGUAGGUGGGGUAAAGGCUCACCUAGGCGACGAUCCGUAACUGGUCUGAGAGGAUGAUCAGUCACACUGGAACUGAGACACGGUCCAGACUCCUACGGGAGGCAGCAGUGGGGAAUAUUGGACAAUGGGCGAAAGCCUGAACCAGCCAUGCCGCGUGUGUGAAGAAGGUCUUCGGAUUGUAAAGCACUUUAAGUUGGGAGGAAGGGCAGUAAGUUAAUACCUUGCUGUUUUGACGUUACCAACAGAAUAAGCACCGGCUAACUUCGUGCCAGCCGCCGCCGUAACAC
rnacentral:rRNA from 1 species